rnacentral:misc_RNA from 1 species
GGUUUCAACCGCGUCGUCGCGACGGUCGAUUCCGGCGCAGAUAACUCCGGCGGGAUUUGCGUCGCUACUUCUAGGGAUUUCUCUAGCUCUGAUGCUCUGUGGAUCGGUUACCUUCUUCAUCGGCUUCAUGAUGAUGCCUUGGGUUAUUGGAUUGGUUAUGUUUUUCUAUGUCGCCGCGGUGGUUUCCUGCCUCUCCAUGAUCGGACGUUCGAUCAUCUGCUACGCUACGGCUCCGCCUAGAAAGGAUAUUCCAG